AGUUUCCUCUCCUCAACAAGCCACCUGGUACAAAAGUGGAACCUAGUUGCAUGUCCCUUUCCAACUUUAUAAUUGGUUGACUUUGGCUUAUGGUUUCAGUUUCAUCUCCACAAAGCAAUAGACCAGAGAAAAGUACUCAUGUUCACAUAUGACAUUGACCCUGAAAUCCAAAUUCAAGAUGAUUAUGUGAAGAGUGAUCAAUUUUAAAUGUAGCAACAGAGCAGAAAAUACAAGAAAAAAUUGUCUUAUGUGACUUGUCUGAACACUUCAGAUCUGUGUCUUUAAAAAGUGAAUUGUUUAUUAUGCUGAUUAGGCACUCUUUAUUUUAGAACAACAAGCUCAUUGCAAAAUCUUUAACAGGAAAAGACAGAAAUCAUGUUGCUGAUCUCUUUACCAAGGUGUACAAGAAGAAAAGUGGAUUAUGAUGUUAUAGUCAGACAAAGUAAAUGAAUGAAGGAUGGAUGGAGCACUAUCUUUAGAUUAUAGCCAUUAGAAAUGUUAUAGAAGAACAAGCAGCAAUCUUCCUAGAUAAAAAUUGACCAAAAUGUUGAUCAACAUUCUGAAGCAGUGUGAGAAAUAUAUUCAAAGGGGUGUUUAAAUGAAGAACAGCUGCAACAGGAAAGACUGAGAAAGACACACCCAGUAGCCUGAGGGCUCUUCUAGGGUAAGAAGAGUGCGACUUGAAGUUGAUGCCCCUGAAAACAGUCAUACUAGCUACAGUUUACAGGAACACCUUCGUGUGCCAGAGAACAAGAUUUCACCAUGAAUUACAUACCACCUCAUGUAUACCCUGAGGAUAACUGAGAUCACUUGAGAGGCUGUACAUGAAGAGCCACAAUCAGCCACACUGAUAGUGAAGAUAUGGAGCUGCAAAUUGCACCUCCCUGCACCAGCAAACUCCACUGUGACUAACUGGCUCCAGGAUUUGAUCCACACAACGUGUCAGUAAACAGGAAAAUGCAAUAAUUACCAGGACUUCAGGGGAGUGGUGCACCCAUGUUUGUUAGCAGAGGCAGCUGCUUCUCUCUCAGACACAUACUAUGCCAAAUUUGCUGCCAACAGGGACCCAGGCUGUCCAUCAGCAGGGGAACAUUCUCCUGGAAAACAACAGCAAUGGCACAAGCUACCCACAUUCCUCACUCUGCCAAUGGUCAGCUUCCAAAAUAUUUGUGGCUGGCCUAGGAAAGGGGUCAUCAUGGCAAAGACCCUCAGGAGACUGGCUGAUUCAGCAAAUUUUCUGCAGAGAGCUCCUCUGGAGCUCCAGCCACAACCUAAAGAAGAACCAGCUCAGAAGAAACCCAGUG